UCUCUCUCUCUAUAUAUAAUCAAACACAUCUUUCUUCCAAUCACUACCUCUAAGAAAACUUGCACGUUAUUGCUAGCCAUGGAAAGGAUAGAUCUAAUUCAAGCAUACAUGAUGGGAAAGAUGUAUAAGGAAGAAAUGAAGAUAGCACAAGAAGAAGUACAUGGAAAUGGAAAGACCAACAACAACAAGAUUCAUAAAAUCGCAAAGGGUUCAUCAACUAGGUGUUUUUCCUGGCUUUUCAAGCAACAAGACACAAAAUAUUCUCAUAUAUCAGAUUCCAACCAUUGAAGCUAUUAAUAAUAAUACUUCAUUGGUGCGGUAUUUGAGAUAAUUUUCGGCAAAGUUAGGAUCUUCCACAUCCAGUUUUGCUAAAUGUUAUUUAGACCAUUUGUCUUGUAUGAUUAUCGGUCCUUCAUCAAGCUUUGAUUUAAGCCUAUCUGAAUGUAUAUGAGUUGUGUACUCCUUAUGCCCAUUAAUAGAAUUAUUUUACUUCCCAU
rnacentral:lncRNA from 1 species